ensembl:lncRNA
GUUUAAGUGGUAACCUAGAUGAGUGCCAGGGAAGUGGGAUGUUAAUACACACUAAUACGUUUGCAGCUAACUUUGAAAAGUUCAAAACACUUCCUAAUGGAAAAGGUGAAGUCUUCAAAAGGCCUCGCUUCUGGGAUGGAGGCAAAGGGCGCCAUGAGCACCUGGAAGGAGGUGACGAUUGUCUCAGGAACCCAUUAAGAAAGAAAGGAGAGAUUUUCAAGGUGAGAAACGAGAAAUGAUGAGGGGAAGAGGGUACCCUGUGGAGCAGACUGAAAAAAGAAAAUUGUUUCUGGAGUUAGCUGCUGUGGAGGUGUGUGAAAAGGAAAGAGUAACAGCACCAGGAGUGCACUUGGCACCUACAUCCUAUGAAUCAUCACAUCCACACUGCCAUAUUCAUUCCCCCUCAUGUCACUCAGCAAAGACAUGAAGGCCAAAAAAAAGUCCCAGGUCAUCAAGCCCUUGGUGAAGCUGGACAGAUUCAAGAGGAAAACCGCAUGUCUGGUCUCUUGACCACCUGGGCCAUCUCAGUCUCAGCUUAACAAUGGGCAUGGGGGAUCUGAUCAGGGUUCUUGGCUAGGGUCACCUGCCCCCUGGGCAUCCACUUAACAUAAAGUGACAAUUCAGAAUCCCCAUCAGGAUCGCCAGGAAGCCAUCCAGUCCACUGUAUAUUCACAAAG